UAAUAAACCUGAUGGGAACGGCAGCUUUUGGCUGUCACCCUGAGCGGAGUCGAAGGGUAGCCAAAAAGGUACAGUGUACAGCAGGACUACCG
rnacentral:sRNA from 1 species